ACAAAAAAUAUAUUAAUAGAAAACUUACAAAAAUAAACUCAAAAUCAGAAAUUCAAAAAAAACAGUACAAAAUUAACUCCGAAAUUUGAUCAAAAUCAAUAAUAAUUAACUCAACAAAAACAACAAUCAACAAUCUUUCAAUUUGGUUGACCUGGUCGAAUCGACUGGUCUGGUCCGAUUUAGUUUUCAAAACACUGAGUAACGCAUGUAUCAAGUUGGCACAGACCUAUUUCUUCCAAUUCAUCAAGCCCAUAACCACACGGCUCAUUUAUUUUCUAUCGAGUCAUUGACGCUCAAAUCCAACUAUUUCAGACAUAUUUCUUUCAAUUCAUCACACCCAUAUCUAGUCGGAUCAUUAUUUUUAUUGGGUUGUUGGUGCCCAAAUCUAGUUUACUUAGACCUAUUUCUUUCAAUUCAUCGAGCCCAUAUCAAAUCAGCUUCAUUUGUUUUCUAUCAUGUCAUUUAUUCCUAUAUACAUUAAGACUAUAUCCAGUUGGCUUCAUUUAUUUUUUAUCGGGUUGUUGGCACAUAUAUCUAGUUGGCUCAAAUCCAUUUCUUUCAAUUCAUCGAACCCACAUCUAGUCGGCUUGUAUAUUUUUGGUCCAAUAGUUAACGACCAAAUCCAACUAGCUCAAACUCAUUUCUUUCAAUUCAUCAAACCCAUAAUUAGUCGACCUUAUUUAUUUUUUGUUGGGUCGUAGACACACAUAUCCACUUAUCUCAUACCCAUUUCUUCUAAUUCUUUAAUCCCAUAUCUAGCCAGCUUCAUUUAUUUUCUAUCGGGUUUUUGACACCCGUAUUAAGUUAGCUCAGACCCAUUUCUUCCAAUUCAUCAAGCCCAUAACCACAAGGCUCAUUUAUUUUCUGUUGAGUCAUUGAUCCUUGGCUCAGACCCAUUCUUUCAAUUCAUCAUCCCAUAUCUAGUCGGCUUUAUUUAUUUUUUUUUCAUGUCAUUGACACCCAUAUCCAGUUGGCUGAGAUCCAUUUCUUUCAAUUCAUUAAGUCCCAUAUCUGAUGGCUUUAUUUAUUUUCUGUCGGGUUGCUGACACCCGUAUCUAGUUGGCUUAAACUCAUUUCUUUUAAUUCAUCAACCUCAUAUCCAAUUGGCUUCAUUUAUUUUUUGUGGGGUCAUUGACCCCUAUAUCCAGUUGGCACAAAUCUAUUUCUUUCAGUUUAUCAAUCCCAUAUCAAGUCAGCUUUAUUUAUUUUUUGUCGAGUCAUUGAUUCCUGUAUGCAGUUGGCUCGGAGCCAUUUCUUUCAAUUCAUCAAGUCCAUUAAGAGAGCUUCAGGUUCGGCUAGUUGAAGAAGGAGACCUCUCAUUAAAAUUCUAAACCGAUUAAAGUGUUCUUUUCAUUAUCCUCUUCAUCCUCAUACUAAUUUCUCUAAGGUCACAACUCCUUUUUUGAUGGUGAACUUGUUGGUGAUGGAUUCAUCUUAAUGUGGGUUUAUGGAAGGAGAUGAAGGCUAUAAUAUUUUUAUUUUAUUGACUUUGAUUUGUUAAUGUGCUAAUUUAUGUUUUAAAGACUCAUGUAUGUUGCUGUUACUAUUUUGUGAAUACUGAUGUUUUUUAAACUUUAAGGAUAUAAAGUAUGUCUACUAUGGAUAUUUGGUUGUCUUUUGAAUUUUGAUAUUUAAAAAUUCAAUGUGAUUUAUUUUGUUUUCUUAAUUUCAUGAUAUAUGUACUGUAUAAUUUUUUUCCCAAUCUUUUUCAUUUUUUAUUUUUUAUUUUUAUUUCAAAUGAAAUAUUCAAUUGAGUAACCUGAUUACCCGAACCAAUCCAAUCUAAAAGUAUUCAGUUUGGAUUGGUUAGGAUACAACACCAAAAAAUGUCUUAUCCGAUCCAAAUUGACCCGACACACAUUUUAAUUGGUUCGAUACUAUCUUUCUUUCAAACUCGACCCAACCCGACCCGAUUACAUCCCUACCCGAUUACACCCUUACCUACAGUUGUAUUUGGAAGAAAAACUAAAAUUGAGAGA